UAUUCAAGAAAUAGUGCGGGGCAUGGCUGC
rnacentral:piRNA from 1 species